UUAUAUCCUGCGGAGUGCAGUAAUACGUCUAGUAGCGUCCACACUGCCAAAAUCCAAGAAGAAGAAGAAGAACAACAACCGCCGCCUCCGCCUCACCUCGCCUCCCUCUUCCCAAGAGACCUUUAUCCUAUGAUCUGAAUAGGCUUUUUUGCUUAGGAAGGUUCCUAACUGAGUGAAAUGACCAGAAGUAUCUUAAGUGCCAGCCAUGAUAAGAGCUGUUCGAAUUCUCUAAAUGCUAAGGAAAGGUGCUUCAAUGCUUUCUUUCUUAUCUCCAUUAGCAUCGGGGACACUGGACCGUCCUUUACGAAAGGAAAGGAGAUUAUGCCGUCCCACAAUUCCUUACAGCAGCAGCAUUUAAAUGUUUAUAUAGCCUGCAUGAAACAAUACGUUAAGAACGCACGGGCGAAGUAUCUAAGAUGCGCUUUUAGUAGUCCAUCUUCGGAACAUUGUAGUUUCACCACGGCAGACCCAAAUGCCUACAGUAAAAAUCCAUGGAAUCCAUUGCAUGAAUAUCUGGAACGGUAUUCUUCAAGAAUAUAUUGGACAUUGCAUAAAGCAGUUAGCUUAUACUAUUUCAUUGAAUUUUAAAGAAGCACCAUCUUUAGAAUUGAAUGACCAUUUUGGAGGAUUUUGACAUCCCAUAAUUCAAAAAUUGCUCCAGUAAAAAUGCACAGAAUCCAUUACAUUAAUACUUGGGAAAGCACUCUUGAAGAAUGCAUUAGAGUUGACAAACAGUGGACACGGGAUCUAAACACGGGAUGCGUCGCGAGGAACGGUCAUGUGCUCAGCGUGCUGACCGCUAUUAACUUGGACUGUGAUUUAGGCUUGGCUACUUUCAAAUACAGAUUCCAAGGACAAAUUGGUUCUCGACGUGCUCGUGAGUCAAGCUGAAUCAGGGAAACCAGGACCUCCACAAAGGGAAGAAAUCUGACCAUAAUUUCGUGAAUUACGACAGACGGAAAUCUAUCAAGCUCACAGUAAAGAAUAUGCUUUCAGAGGGAAUUCGGUAUGUGGCAUUUUAAAGUCCCUUUAUGGAUGGCAUAUCUAUUGCUCCUGUUCUGUGGCCUCGCCUAUUCCUGUGGAAGUGCAGAAUAUGAAAUUAAUGGAGAGUGCUGUCCAAUGUGCACACCUGGGACACGUGUUUAUAAACACUGCACGGAGUACACUAGCACCUCCUGUGUACCGUGCAUUCAAAAAUCAUUCGUCGAUGUGCCCAGCAGUCUGUCUCAUUGUUUGCCUUGCAUAGUUUGUGACCCAGCCAUGGGUUUAAAAACAGAGAGAGAGUGCACCCCCACCUCUGACACAGUGUGUGGGCCUCUGGAUCACCACUACUGCACUAAGACUGAUAAUAAGGGGUGCAGCUUUGCGCAGAAACACACCAUCUGCAGGCCUGGACAAUUCAUCAUACACAACGGAACAACAUUGACUAAUACCGAAUGUGGAUACUGUCCUGAUAAAACUUUUUCAAAUAAAUCCUUUUCUGCGUACUGCAAACCACACACACAUUGCCAGUCCCUGGGACUUCAGGAAAUUACAGCAGGAACAAACACAUCGGACAGUGAAUGUGGACCAAGAAAUAUUCCUGUUUCCAUCAUUAUUGUGCCUGUGCUACUUGUAUCAGUAUCAGUUGUCAUUUUAACAAUCAUUUUCAUUUUAAGUAAGUCUCUCCCUUUAUCUGGUAAGACUUUGAAUUGUAUUUUUAAUAAACUAAAUGUAAAUGGUGAUACAGUUUAAAUAGCAGUUUAACGUUGGCUGUACCUAUAUUUUGUGAAUUGCAAUCCUUGUAUUUAUAUGUAUCCUUGUAUUUAAUAAUUAAUCAGGGAAUUCAAAAAAGAAAGGUAAUGUGCCAUGGCAAAUUUUUGGAAAAAAUGCAAAUGCAUUACUCCACUGGUUGAUUCGUUAUAUUCAAUGUUAAAGAAUUAAACAAGAAAAUAAAAAAGGAAAGGUAAUGUAA